rnacentral:rRNA from 1 species
GACGAACGCUGGCGGCGUGCUUAACACAUGCAAGUCGAACGGAAAGGCCCUGCUUUUGUGGGGUGCUCGAGUGGCGAACGGGUGAGUAACACGUGAGUAACCUGCCCUUGACUUUGGGAUAACUUCAGGAAACUGGGGCUAAUACCGGAUAGGAGCUCCUGCUGCAUGGUGGGGGUUGGAAAGUUUCGGCGGUUGGGGAUGGACUCGCGGCUUAUCAGCUUGUUGGUGGGGUAGUGGCUUACCAAGGCUUUGACGGGUAGCCGGCCUGAGAGGGUGACCGGCAACAUUGGGACUGAGAUACGGCCCAGACUCCUACGGGAGGAAGAAGUGGGGAAUAUUGCACAAUGGGCGGAAGCCUGAUGAAGCAACGCCGCGUGCGGGAUGACGGCCUUCGGGUGGUAAACCGCUUUCGCCUGUGACGAAGCGUGAGUGACGGUAAUGGGUAAAGAAGCACCGGCUAACUACGU